rnacentral:rRNA from 1 species
UGAACGCUGGCGGUAGGCUUAACACAUGCAAGUCGAACGGCAGCACAGGAGAGCUUGCUCUCUGGGUGGCGAGUGGCAGACGGGUGAGGAAUGCAUCGGAAUCUACUCUUUCGUGGGGGAUAACGUAGGGAAACUUACGCUAAUACCGCAUACGACCUACGGGUGAAAGCCGGGGACCUUCGGGCCUGGCGCGAAAGAAUGAGCCGAUGCCCGAUUAGCUAGUUGGCGGGGUAAGAGCCCACCAAGGCGACGAUCGGUAGCUGGUCUGAGAGGAUGAUCAGCCACACUGGAACUGAGACACGGUCCAGACUCCUACGGGAGGCAGCAGUGGGGAAUAUUGGACAAUGGGCGCAAGCCUGAUCCAGCCAUACCGCGUGGGUGAAGAAGGCCUUCGGGUUGUAAAGCCCUUUUGUUGGGAAAGAAAAGCAGUCGGUUAAUACCCGAUUGUUCUGACGUACCCAAAGAAUAAGCACCGUAACA